GACGAACGCUGGCGGCGUGCUUAACGCAUGCAAGUCGAACGGAAAGGCCCUGCUUCUGUGGGGUGCUCGAGUGGCGAACGGGUGAGUAACACGUGAGUAACCUGCCCUUGACUUUGGGAUAACUACAGGAAACUGGGGCUAAUACCGGAUAGGAGCUCCUGCUGCAUGGUGGGGGUUGGAAGGUUUCGGCGGUUGGGGAUGGACUCGCGGCUUAUCAGCUUGUUGGUGGGGUAGUGGCUUACCAAGGCUUUGACGGGUAGCCGGCCUGAGAGGGUGACCGGCCACAUUGGGACUGAGAUACGGCCCAGACUCCUACGGGAGGCAGCAGUGGGGAAUAUUGCACAAUGGGCGGAAGCCUGAUGCAGCAACGCCGCGUGCGGGAUGACGGCCUUCGGGUUGUAAACCGCUUUCGCCUGUGACGAAGCGUGAGUGACGGUAAUGGGUAAAGAAGCACCGGCUAACUACGUG
rnacentral:rRNA from 1 species